AAGUGGGGUUGAGUAGUGGUGAGUAAGAUUUUCACUUUUUACUUGCUACUUAUUGUUUUUUAAAAAAAUUUUGUGAAGAAUAUAUUCCUUUGUUUAUGAUAUUUCUUGUAUAGUUAAAAUUUUUUCAAUUUGAAAAAAUAAAUAACAUGGUAGGCAAAAGGAUUUAUUCCAGGAAGUCAGAAAAAUAGAGUGCAAUGAUAGCAUAUAAUCAUUCCUGCAAAUAUUUUAGAUCAUAGAAUAUGGGUUAGGUACAGUGACUGCAUUUUCAGAACUAAAAAUCAGAAUUCAGUGUCUGCCAAAAGAUUUUUGGUACCACUUCUGAGUAGGAGAGGAAGCCUGGGACGUCCAAUCUUGAUGCCAAAAUAAUGGAAUUUCUGGGACAGUCUGAUGGCUUAUUAUUGCAAACAGACUGUUUGAAACUAGGCCUGUCCAUCAAUCCCCAAUCCCAUUCCAUUUUUGGAUCCUGUUGGAACGGAGCUCCUCCUGAUACAAUACCAGCUUAAAACCUAGCAUUCACCCUGCCUUACCCUACCUCCCCCAAGUCCUGGGCCUCACAGCCUUUGUUCCCCCUGAGAUCUGCCAGGAGCCCUGACAGAGCACUCCUAACUUCUCGAUUGCCUCAGCAGCAUCCCCAGGCAUACUGUCUGCCUCACCUAAGAGGGUAGCUAUUUUUCUAACUCUCUAUCAGCCCUUCUUGUUACCUACUGGCUUUCCACACCCAUAGCUUGAUUGCCUUCUGCACCCCCCCCCCCCCACACUCCCUACUAGCCCUCCUACUCCUCACCCUACACUUGGUGUACAGCUGAGCUAGCCUGGCCUGAGCUACUGAUACCAAUCCUGCUGAGGCUAGCACAGACAGUCCCAGAUGCAGGGUAAGCUGAGGCUGUGAAAAUGAAAUUGCUGGGUACAGAAAGGAGGAGGGUGAUAGACACAGAGAAACAGGAAAGAGUUUGCCAGGAAGCCAGACUGGUUGAGGGCUGAGUGGAAAAGAGAAGUUGAAGCAGGACUCACAGAACAUCUUGGGACCAGUAAAGGAAGUGGGAGAGAGGUAAGAACUAAAUGUACAGAGCAGUUUUAGUUCCAAGUGUGAACAAGGAUGUCAAGGUAAAUGUAUGGAUUCAUCGCUGAGAAGGACAAAAUGAAAGGCUCCAGUGGGUCCCGAGCCUUCUGCUGGGGAACGGAGAAAGAACAUGUGAAGAAAACCUGCUCCCCACCCUGACUGCGUGACAUCGAGCAAAUUCCUUAACCCCCUGAGCUUUACCUGGAAGUUGGAGUCCUUCCAAUUUAGUUCCUGUACAUAGUGGUGCUAAUAAACAUUUGAUGAAUGAAUGAAUUAGUAAAGGAAUGGACUGAAGUCUCCGGAGCACACUUUGGCCAAUGGAACUCCACUCUAAAGGAUGACGGACACACCUGUGGACAUCGAAUCUAGAGACCCGGGAUUAGGUGCAGUUUGGGCCCUUUCUCUCUGUGUGGAUUUGGGCAAGUCAUUUCCCUCGUUUGGGCCUCAGUUUCUCCAUCUGUGUAAAAGAAAGUAGCUCUAAAUGAUCUCUAAGUCUCUUUCAGCCCAUGUCUACAUUGGUCCCCGAUACCAGAAUCCCCUUGAAGGAAGAACCAAGAAUGUUAGCCCCUAGUCAGCCACGGAUGUGAGUCCCACAGCCAAUUCCUGUGCUCAGCAGCUUGGCAGAACCCUACCUUGUCCGCUUCACCACUGUCUCUUGAAAUCUCCUGACUGGCCCUGCUCUGAAUCACAGCACUGGCAUUUAUAUCUUCGACAUAACAGACCCUGGAGCUGAGACAAUGGGGCUCUUAGAGACUUCAGCUAUGAUCUCAUCUUCUGACCAAGAUUUUUCUUGGCCUAUGAUUGCUCAGCCCUGACCAGAAAAAAAAAAAAAAGCCCCUACUCCAGGAAGUGCUCAUGCUGACUUGGCAUGCUGUAGGUCUGGAAUUGAAGCAGGAACUUGUGUGGACCGGUAGGGACCUUGUAGGCUCCAGUAGGAGAAAAAGGAAAAAAUCCAGACAAGCCCAGGAGAAACAAUUCUGAGGGCACAGAGACUUAAAGAGAUGGAAAGCAGCUGACUUGGUGUGAGGGAGAACUCCUUUAUUGAGAACCUUCUGUGUGCCAGGCACUUUCAAUCUGGGCUACAGCUUUGCAAGGCAGGUAUUAUUAUCCUAUUUCCGAAGCUCAGAGAGAUUAAUGGACUUCUUCAGAAUCACCUGACUAACAAGUAGCUGUGGGGUUCAAACCUACGUCUCCAAAGACCUGCAUCCUUCUUUCAGAUCCCCUGAGAAGCCUCCGGGAGGAACUUAGGAAGUUCAGAGAGUACUCACUGGAUGAUUAUUUCAAGGAAAUGGGCAAAAUACUAAUGGGAUAAUAUUGAAUCUGAAAUCACCAGCACUAACCAUGAGCAAAGAUGAAGAGGAGGAAAAUUCAGAAACCAAAGACCAGAUAGGGGAGACACUGCCUUACUCUUCCUUCAGAUAUGCCUGGCGGACAUGAGUUCCAACAACCAGAACUUGGGGGCUGAGAUAUUUCCCCUUCCGACUCCUCUGUAUGGGGAACCAAGACACUUGGCUUCGUGUUUAGGGAGUUAAAGCCUGUGGCUACAGAAGAAGGUCUGUCGAGACUCUGAUCAUCAGUGGAGCUGCAGCAGUCUUGAGCUCUGAACACGUGCCAUGAAGGGUUUCGGACGUGGAGAUUCUUGUACACAUUCAGCAAGUCUCCCUUGUGCCAGGCAUUGUUGUAGAUGCUGGUGCCACAGCAGUGGACAAAACCCACAACAAUCCCUGCCCUCCUGGAGUUUACAUUCCACCAGGGGAGACAGACAAUAAACAAUAUAAAUAAGUGAAAUACAACAUAUAAUAUGCUAAUGACAAGUGCUAAAGAGGAAAAUAAAGCAGAGAAGGGGACUAGGAAAUACUGAGGGAUGGAUGUUGCCAUUUCAGUGGUAAGGUGGCCAUGGGAAGUCCUCACCCAGAAAGUGAUAUGUGAAUAAAGACCAGAAGGAAGUGAGAGGGUGAGCAAUACCGACAUGUGGGAAAAGAGCAAGCCAGGCAGAAGGAUCAGCUGUAAAGGCCAUUGUUGUGGGUUGAAUUGUAUCCUUCAAAAGAUAUAUUGAAUGGGGUCAGCCCCGAGGCCCAGUGGUUAAGCUCAUGCGCUCCGCUUCCACU